rnacentral:SRP_RNA from 2 species
GCUGGGCAUGGUGGCGGGUGCCUGUAAUCCCAGCUACUUGGGAGGCUGAGGCAGGAGAAUCCCUUGAACCCAGGAGGUGGAGGUUGCAGGGGGCCGAGAUUGCGCCACUGCACUCAAGCCUGGAUGACAGAGGGAGACUCUGUCUCAA